rnacentral:rRNA from 1 species
AUGAACGCUAGCUACAGGCUUAACACAUGCAAGUCGAGGGGCAGCGGGGUUGAAGCUUGCUUCAACCGCCGGCGACCGGCGCACGGGUGAGUAACACGUAUCCAACCUGCCGAUAACUCCGGGAUAGCCUUUCGAAAGAAAGAUUAAUACCGGAUGGCAUAGUUUUCCCGCAUGGAAUAACUAUUAAAGAAUUUCGGUUAUCGAUGGGGAUGCGUUCCAUUAGGCAGUUGGCGGGGUAACGGCCCACCAAACCGACGAUGGAUAGGGGUUCUGAGAGGAAGGUCCCCCACAUUGGAACUGAGACACGGUCCAAACUCCUACGGGAGGCAGCAGUGAGGAAUAUUGGUCAAUGGACGAGAGUCUGAACCAGCCAAGUAGCGUGAAGGAUGACUGCCCUAUGGGUUGUAAACUUCUUUUAUACGGGAAUAAAGUUAGCCACGUGUGGUUUUUUGCAUGUACCGUAUGAAUAAGGAUCGGCUAACUCCGUGCCAGCAGCCGCGGUAAUACGGAGGAUCCGAGCGUUAUCCGGAUUUAUUGGGUUUAAAGGGAGCGUAGGCGGGGUAUUAAGUCAGUUGUGAAAGUUUGCGGCUCAACCGUAAAAUUGCAGUUGAUACUGGUAUCCUUGAGUGCAGCAGAGGUGGGCGGAAUUCGUGGUGUAGCGGUGAAAUGCUUAGAUAUCACGAAGAACUCCGAUUGCGAAGGCAGCUCACUGGAGUGUAACUGACGCUGAUGCUCGAAAGUGUGGGUAUCAAACAGGAUUAGAUACCCUGGUAGUCCACACAGUAAACGAUGAAUACUCGCUGUUGGCGAUACAAUGUCAGCGGCCAAGCGAAAGCAUUAAGUAUUCCACCUGGGGAGUACGCCGGCAACGGUGAAACUCAAAGGAAUUGACGGGGGCCCGCACAAGCGGAGGAACAUGUGGUUUAAUUCGAUGAUACGCGAGGAACCUUACCCGGGCUUAAAUUGCACUCGAAUGAUCCGGAAACGGUUCAGCUAGCAAUAGCGAGUGUGAAGGUGCUGCAUGGUUGUCGUCAGCUCGUGCCGUGAGGUGUCGGCUUAAGUGCCAUAACGAGCGCAACCCUUAUCGAUAGUUACCAUCAGGUUAUGCUGGGGACUCUAUCGAGACUGCCGUCGUAAGAUGUGAGGAAGGUGGGGAUGACGUCAAAUCAGCACGGCCCUUACGUCCGGGGCUACACACGUGUUACAAUGGGGGGUACAGAAGGCAGCUACACGGCGACGUGAUGCUAAUCCCAAAAACCUCUCUCAGUUCGGAUUGGAGUCUGCAACCCGACUCCAUGAAGCUGGAUUCGCUAGUAAUCGCGCAUCAGCCACGGCGCGGUGAAUACGUUCCCGGGCCUUGUACACACCGCCCGUCAAGCCAUGAAAGCCGGGGGUACCUGAAGUACGUAACCGCAAGGAGCGUCCUAGGGUAAAACUGGUGAUUGGGGCU